rnacentral:rRNA from 1 species
UUCCGGUUGAUCCUGCCGGAGGCGACCGCUUUUGGAGUUCGAUUAAGCCAUGCGAGUAGAAAGAAAUUAGAUUCUUUGCGAACUGCUCAGUAACACGUGGAUAACCUGCCCUAUGCUCCGGAAUAACCUCGGGAAACUGAGAAUAAUACCGGAUAGAUCACAACGCCUGGAACGGUGUGUGGUUGAAAGAUUACGGCAUAGGAUGGGUCUGCGGCGUAUCAGGUUGUAGGGGGUGUAAAGGACCUCCUAGCCAUCGACGCGUACGGGUGUUGGGAGACAUAGCCCGGAGAUGGAUUCUGAGACACGAAUCCAGACCCUACGGGGUGCAGCAGGCGCGAAAACUUCACACUGCAGGAAACUGUGAUGAGGGAACUCCAAGUGCACGCACUUAGUGUGUGCUUUUUUCAACUAUUAAUCGGUUGAAGGAUAAGGGCUGGGAAAGACCGGUGCCAGCCGCCGCGGUAAUACCGGCAGCUCAAGUGGUCGUCGCUUUUAUUGGGCCUAAAACGUCCGUAGCCUGUUUGGUAAAUCUGUGGGUAAAUCAACCAGCUUAACUGGUUGAAUUCUGCAGAGACUGCCAGACUAGGGACCGGGAGAGGUGUGGGGUACUCUAGGGGUAGGGGUAAAAUCCUGUCAUCCUUAGAGGACCACCAGUUGCGAAGGCGCCACACUGGAACGGAUCCGACGGUCAGGGACGAAGCCUAGGGGCACGAACCGGAUUAGAUACCCGGGUAGUCCUAGGUGUAAACGCUGUGAACUUGGUGUCGGGGAUCCGUCAUGGGUCCCCGGUGCCGGAGUGAAGAUGUUAAGUUCACUGCCUGGGGAGUACGGUCGCAAGGCUGAAACUUAAAGGAAUUGGCGGGGGAGCACUGCAACGGGAGGAGCGUGCGGUUUAAUUGGAUCAACGCCGGA